UAGUCCACGCCGUAAACGAUGAGUGCUAGUUGUUGGGCCUUGAGCUCGGUGACGUAGUUAACGCGUUAAGCACUCCGCCUGGGGGAGUACGGUCGCAAGAUUAAAACUCAAAGGAAUUGACGGGGACCCGCACAAGCGGUGGAGCAUGUGGUUUAAUUCGAGGCAACGCGAAGAACCUUACCAGUCCUUGACAUCCCGAUCGCGAUUAAUGGAGACAUUUUUCUCAGUUCGGCUGGAUCGGUGACAGGUGCUGCAUGGUUGUCGUCAGCUCGUGUCGUGAGAUGUUGGGUUAAGUCCCGCAACGAGCGCUACCCCUAUUGUUAGUUGCCAGCGAGUAAUGUCGGGGACUCUAACGAGACUGCCCGCGUAAGCGGAGAGGAAGGUGGGGACGACGUCAAAUCAUCAUGGCCUUUAUGCCUAGGGCUACACACGUGCUACAAUGGCAGGUACAGAGGGUUGCGAAGGGGUGACCUGGAGCUAAUCUCAGAAAGCCUGUCCCAGUUCGGAUUGG
rnacentral:rRNA from 1 species